rnacentral:rRNA from 1 species
UACAGAGGGGGCAAGCGUUGUUCGGAAUUACUGGGCGUAAAGGGCGCGUAGGCGGCCUUCUAAGUCGAACGUGAAAUCCCCGGGCUCAACCCGGGAACUGCGUCCGAUACUGGAAGGCUUGAAUCCGGGAGAGGGAUGUGGAAUUCCAGGUGUAGCGGUGAAAUGCGUAGAUAUCUGGAGGAACACCGGUGGCGAAGGCGGCAUUCUGGACCGACAUUGACGCUGAGGAGCGAAAGCCAGGGGAGCAAACGGG